rnacentral:rRNA from 1 species
GAUGAACGCUGGCGGCGUGCUUAACACAUGCAAGUCGAACGAUGAAGCCCAGCUUGCUGGGUGGAUUAGUGGCGAACGGGUGAGUAACACGUGAGUAACCUGCCCUUAACUCUGGGAUAAGCCUGGGAAACUGGGUCUAAUACCGGAUAGGAGCGUCCACCGCAUGGUGGGUGUUGGAAAGAUUUUUCGGGUUUGGAUGGACUCGCGGCCUAUCAGCUUGUUGGUGAGGUAAUGGCUCACCAAGGCGACGACGGGUAGCCGGCCUGAGAGGGUGACCGGCCACACUGGGACUGAGACACGGCCCAGACUCCUACGGGAGGCAGCAGUGGGGAAUAUUGCACAAUGGGCGCAAGCCUGAUGCAGCGACGCCGCGUGAGGGAUGACGGCCUUCGGGUUGUAAACCUCUUUCAGUAGGGAAGAAGCGAAAGUGACGGUACCUGCAGAAGAAGCACCGGCUAACUACGUG